rnacentral:rRNA from 1 species
GAUGAACGCUGGCGGCGUGCCUAAUACAUGCAAGUCGAGCGAACAGACGAGGAGCUUGCUCCUCUGACGUUAGCGGCGGACGGGUGAGUAACACGUGGAUAACCUACCUAUAAGACUGGGAUAACUUCGGGAAACCGGAGCUAAUACCGGAUAAUAUAUUGAACCGCAUGGUUCAAUAGUGAAAGACGGUUUUGCUGUCACUUAUAGAUGGAUCCGCGCCGCAUUAGCUAGUUGGUAAGGUAACGGCUUACCAAGGCUACGAUGCGUAGCCCACCUGAGAGGGUGAUCGGCCACACUGGAACUGAGACACGGUCCAGACUCCUACGGGAGGCAGCAGUAGGGAAUCUUCCGCAAUGGGCGAAAGCCUGACGGAGCAACGCCGCGUGAGUGAUGAAGGUCUUCGGAUCGUAAAACUCUGUUAUUAGGGAAGAACAAAUGUGUAAGUAACUAUGCACGUCUUGACGGUACCUAAUCAGAAAGCCACGGCUAACUACGUG